rnacentral:snRNA from 1 species
GUACUUACCUGGCAGAGGAGAUACCAUGAUCAUGAAGGUGGUUUUCUCAGGGCGAGGCUUAUCCAUAGCACUCCUGGUGUGCUGACCUCUACGAUGUCCCCAAAUGUGGGAAACUCGACUGCAUCAUUUGUGGUAGUCUAGGGGGACUGCGUUCGCAAUCUCCCC